rnacentral:rRNA from 1 species
AUAGGUCAAGUUAUUAAGAGCAUAGGGCGAAUGCCUUGGCACCAAGAGCCGAUGAAGGACGGGAUAAGCACCGAUAUGCUUCGGGGAGUCGCAAAUAGACAUUGAUCCGGAGAUUUCCGAAUGGGGAAACCUACUUGAGCAACCCUCAAGUAUCGCAUGCUGAAUUCAUAGGUAUGCGAAGGAAGACCAGGGGAACUGAAACAUCUAAGUACCC